CUCUGUAAAGGUAGCCAAUGUAGCGGAUGGCACUGGGCUGUCCUGAAAAUGGCAUGUGUAUAACUGCAUUUGGGUAAACUGCUGGUUUUUUAUGUGUUUAAAUAAAGUGUAUUCGUCUGAUUGUUCUGUAGAAUCAUUCGAAUAAACUAAGGGAAUGAAACUACCAAACAAUCAGACCUCCCCUGUGUGAAGUGUGCCUUCAAUUAACAAGCUAUGCAGUAGGUCCUUUGUUUUCGGGGUGGCCGCCAUUCGGGAAAUGAACACGUGGUGGCGGCCAUUUUAAAACUCCCGAAUGAUGCGUUUUGCCGUCGAGUGUAUGGAACCCAAAUCGGACACUCGGCUAGGCGAACACCGCUGAGACCUCCACAAGCCCGGUCCAUUCGGUUCCAACCUACCGAACGGCCCCUCGUUUGGUAGACAGAAACAACCGAAUGAGGGGAUUCAGGCGAACCCUACCUGAUCUCUGCAGUCUUAGCCUUUCGUGUAAUUUAUUCCCUUAUACUGGGACCGACCGCAGUGCCCCAUCGCAUGGAACCCAAUUCGGCUGUUCUCUCCAGCGCGGUCGGUCUUUUUAGUACUUCCAUAAAUUUCCCGAACCCCUGGUCUGAUCUGGGUGAGUUUUGGAUAUGUUGCUCACCCAGAUCAGGGCUACCAGGGGAUGUGCCAUUUAAAGGGGUACCCCUAGGUUUAGGGGUACAUCCAGAAACUGGGGGAAUUUGUGUACAGUAUAAGGGGAUUAUGAGUCAGGCUGAGGGGAGGAGAUGUGUGGGAGGUUGCUAUUGGGUACUGUAAUAAUUGAUGAAGAUCCCUCCCUUGCAUGGGAGCAUGCUUUAGAGGGCCACUGUGAAAUAAAGGUUUUCAGUUCUGCUCCUGAUGCUGUGUGUCGUCCAGUUAUUGGGAUUGCUGUUGGGAUACUGUUGGAUUAUUU